ACGUCAUCCCCACCUUCCUCCGAGUUGACCCCGGCAGUCUCCCAUGAGUCCCCGCCAUUACGCGCUGGCAACAUGGAACGAGGGUUGCGCUCGUUGCGGGACUUAACCCAACAUCUCACGACACGAGCUGACGACAACCAUGCACCACCUGUGAACCGGCCCCAAAGGGGAAACCACAUUUCUGCGGCGAUCCGGCCCAUGUCAAGCCUUGGUAAGGUUCUUCGCGUUGCAUCGAAUUAAUCCGCAUGCUCCGCCGCUUGUGCGGGCCCCCGUCAAUUCCUUUGAGUUUUAGCCUUGCGGCCGUACUCCCCAGGCGGGGCACUUAAUGCGUUAGCUACGGCGCGGAAAACGUGGAAUGUCCCCCACACCUAGUGCCCAACGUUUACGGCAUGGACUACCA
rnacentral:misc_RNA from 1 species